UACAGAGGUCUCAAGCGUUUGUUCGGAUUCAUUGGGCGUAAAGGGUGUGUAGGUGGCGCCGUAAGUCGGGUGUGAAAUUUCGAGGCUUAACCUCGAAACUGCAUUUGAUACUGCGGUGCUUGAGGACUGGAGAGGAGACUGGAAUUCAUGGUGUAGCAGUGAAAUGCGUAGAGAUCAUGAGGAAGACCAGUGGCGAAGGCGGGUCUCUGGACAGUUCCUGACACUGAGGCACGAAGGCCAGGGGAGCAAACGGGG
rnacentral:rRNA from 1 species